AACGAACGCUGGCGGCAUGCCUAAUACAUGCAAGUCGAACGAUCACUUCGGUGGUAGUGGCGCACGGGUGCGUAACGCGUGGGAAUCUGCCCUUGGGUUCGGAAUAACGUUUGGAAACGAACGCUAAUACCGGAUGAUGACGAAAGUCCAAAGAUUUAUCGCCCAGGGAUGAGCCCGCGUAGGAUUAGCUAGUUGGUGAGGUAAAGGCUCACCAAGGCGACGAUCCUUAGCUGGUCUGAGAGGAUGAUCAGCCACACUGGGACUGAGACACGGCCCAGACUCCUACGGGAGGCAGCAGUAGGGAAUAUUGGACAAUGGGGGCAACCCUGAUCCAGCAAUGCCGCGUGAGUGAUGAAGGCCUUAGGGUUGUAAAGCUCUUUUACCCGGGAUGAUAAUGACAGUACCGGGAGAAUAAGCCCCGGCUAACUCCGUGCCAGCCGCCGCGGUAAAAC
rnacentral:rRNA from 1 species